CUUGAAUAGAUUCUAGAAUGGAAUUAGAGGUGUCACAUUCUAGGCAUAAAGGAAAACUUCAUGAAAACUUCACUCAGAGAGGAGGUAGAAUUUUAGGCUUGAAGCAUACUAAGAAGUGUAAGAGAGGAAAUCAAAUUCAUCAUACUGGAAGACCAACUCCAGCAGGUUAAGCGCAGGAAGGAGAGAGAAUUCUGAACAAGAAACAAAGGAACUGAAAAGACCCAAACAACUGAACUCACUUCUCUUUGGGAAACCCACCAGAGAGUCUGAUCUGAGCAAACCUCUGAGCUUGGAGCAUCCUCCUGUGAAGCCAGACCUCAGUAUCCAGUGGAAGACAAACAAGAGUGUAUAGGAUUUUGCCAGAAAGCUAUCAAUCUCUAGAAGAUUUCCUCUCUAUCCCUCUAAACAGUCCUUGAAUUUAAUAUCAUAGUUAGGAUAGCUAGGAUUCAGAAUAUCUCUCACAAUUGGCCCCAGAGGGACAGGCAGGCAAAGCCUGACCCUGAAAGACAUGGGGAAUAGGGGUUCAAUUGUUAUAUUUAGGGACUUCCUAUUUUCCCACCCUCUCAUUACCUCAUCCCACAAACUGACUUGUCCUACCUUUCAUGUGUUCCUUUAGAAUAAAUAGUUGUUUACUAGAUCA
rnacentral:lncRNA from 1 species